AUGUCCGGCGGCGACCCGCACGUCUGCGGCCUCUCCGACGACCAUGACCCCACUUGCUGGGAGUGGCCCGGCCUUGCCCUCCCCAAGGGCCUCGACUUCUCCCUCACCGCACUCGGCCAAGACUUCCUCUGCGGCAUCGUGAAAGGCAACGACACCGCCAUGAGGUGCUACGCCGGUGGCAUGCCGCCGACAUGA
rnacentral:rRNA from 1 species